AAUAAUCAGAAUAAGGCAAAAGUGAUAGAAUGUCACUUCUUUCAUUAGAUUACAAGAGACUGUAACAUCUAUCUUGUUGGCUUACUCUCUCUACUGCCUUCUUAGCUUGCAUGCUUUGAAAAAACAAGCUACAAUACUGUACAAGCCCACGUGGUAAGAAACUGAUGGCAGGUUACAGCCAAGAUAGUGAGAAUCUGAGGCCACCAGUGAGAAGCUGAGGCUACCAGUUGAACAGUUUCCUACAAGGGAAAAUGCAACAUUAUGAGUGAAGAGUCACAUGAAUAACGUGCAUACCAGCAAGUCUAUAUAUGAAUGACAGCAUUUUACAAAAUAAUACCUGGAAUACCAGCUGCUCAUUUCCUAGAAGAAUUGUAGAGCCUUCUAAGGAGUGGAAAAGCCACUGAUCCCAUUGGAAACUCAUUUCUGAUAUAGCCUUUGCUUCUGAGGAAAAGAAAAAAAAAAGGAACAAUCCUACUGAUCUCAUGAUCCAAACAAUCUGCUACUGUGCAGUUGCCAAAUCUGGGCAGAAGUCAGGAGAUAGGACUCCUGUCCAACAAAUACUACAUAUUUGUAACCUUGGACAAAUCAUGCAAAUUCUGUGAAUCUAUUUCAUCAUCUAUAAAAUGGGGAUAAUAGUACCUAAUACCAAGUAUUGACAGAAUCAAAUGAAAAACUAUGCAGGCAAGUAUUUUAUAAACCGCAAAAUUCACUACAAACAUAGUAGAGGAUUACUUUUCACUACGUUACC